rnacentral:ncRNA from 2 species
UACUUCCACAAGGGGAGCUGUUAAAAGCGGCUGAGAGUGAACGUUUAGUUCUUACCCUUUGAACCUGUUAGUUAACGCUAGCGUAGGGAUGUGGCAUGCCGAAUGU